GAUGAACGCUAGCUACAGGCUUAACACAUGCGAGUCGAGGGGAAACGGCAUCGAAAGCUUGCUUUUGAUGGGCGUCGACCGGCGCACGGGUGAGUAACGCGUAUCCAACCUGCCCAUCACUUGGGAAUAACCUUGCGAAAGUAAGACUAAUGCCCAAUGACAUCCCACGAAGGCAUCCGAAUGGGAUUAAAGAUUUAUCGGUGAUGGAUGGGGAUGCGUCUGAUUAGCUUGUUGGCGGGGUGACGGCCCACCAAGGCAACGAUCAGUAGGGGUUCUGAGAGGAAGGUCCCCCACAUUGGAACUGAGACACGGUCCAAACUCCUACGGGAGGCAGCAGUGAGGAAUAUUGGUCAAUGGGCGAGAGCCUGAACCAGCCAAGUAGCGUGCAGGAGGACGGCCCUAUGGGUUGUAAACUGCUUUUAUAAGGGAAUAAAGUGGGUCACGUGUGACUUUUUGCAUGUACCUUAUGAAUAAGGACCGGCUAAUUCCGUG
rnacentral:rRNA from 1 species